rnacentral:rRNA from 1 species
GGUUUAAUUCGAUGCAACGCGAAAACCUUACCUACCUUUGACAUGUACGGAAUUCGCCAGAGAUGGCUUAGUGCUCGAAAGAGAACCGUAACACAGGUGCUGCAUGGCUGUCGUCAGCUCGUGUCGUGAGAUGUUGGGUUAAGUCCCGCAACGAGCGCAACCCUUGUCAUUAGUUGCUACAUUUAGUUGGGCACUCUAAUGAGACUGCCGGUGACAAACCGGAGGAAGGUGGGGAUGACGCCAAGUCCUCAUGGCCCUUAUAGGUAGGGCUACACACGUCAUACAAUGGAUGGUACAAAGGGUCGCCAACCCGCGGGGGGGAGCCAAUCCCAUAAAACCAUUCGUAGUCCGGAUCGCAGUCUGCAACUCGACUGCGUGAAGUCGGAAUCGCUAGUAAUCGUGGAUCAGAAUGUCACGGUGAAUACGUUCCCGGGUCUU